AAGAAUGAUAAUUAUUCAGUUACGUUGAAGAAAACCUAGUGGCAUUCUUU
rnacentral:tRNA from 1 species